rnacentral:rRNA from 1 species
GUCGGGUUUCGGCUCGGUACUGAAGUUAACACAUUAAGUACUCCGCCUGAGUAGUACGUACGCAAGUAUGAAACUUAAAGGAAUUGACGGGACCCCGCACAAGCGGUGGAUCAUGUUGUUUAAUUCGAAGAUACACGAAAAAC